UACGUAGGGGGCAAGCGUUGUCCGGAUUUAUUGGGCGUAAAGCGCGCGUAGGCGGCGCGGUAUGUCGUGCGUGAAAUCUCCCGGCUUAACUGGGAGGGGCCGUGCGAAACUGCCGGGCUUGAGGUCAGAAGGGGAAGUGGAAUUCCGGGUGUAGUGGUGGAAGUACGUAGAUAUCCGGAGGAACACCAGCGGCGAAGGCGGCUUUCUGGUCUGAUACUGACGCUGGAGGCGACGAAAGCGUGGGGAGCGAUCCGG
rnacentral:rRNA from 1 species